UCCCACUCUCUCUCCCUCCCUUGCUUGCUAUCCAUCUCUCCCCACCCUUCCCAGCGCCAGCCCUCCCCACCGGUUUGCAUCAUCACGCAGGGAGGGGCUGCGUGCUGAGAUCUUUCUUGUUGGAUCUUUCAACUGUCAUGGAUCGAUCUGGGUAUACAGGCUUUGAAACCAAAACCAGCAUCUAACUCCAGAACUAAAGGAGACCUCAGUAACGUGUUUCACUUCUUUCACUGAAGAGGGAGAACAUUUUUCACCUGCCCUUUGGAUGAGAGCAUAAGAUGGAUUUAGAGAAAAUCAAAUAUAAACAUGAAUCUUUGGGUAUGAGAACAUGCUCAUGGAUGCCCACAGAGGACAGAAGUGGAUCUCCUGGUGAUGACGUUGUUCACGGAUAUGAGCUGCCAAUGUGCUUGGUGGGAUCAGAACAGCAAGACUCAGAAGAACUCUCUCUAGCCCUUUGACUUAAAAAGCAAAACCCAACAAUAACACACACACACUGUCAUUUGCAGUAUAUUUUCCAUUUGAUUCUUAGCAUAACUUUCUGAGUCCUAACUGCAUGUCAUGAUGCUUGUAACCACUGGAAAGGUAUGAAGUUGUAUCAUGUUUUCUCAAGAACUUUUAAACUUAGAUUUGUUUUGCUUCUUGUAAAAUACAGUAUUUUCCAAUAAAUUAUACUGUGACUAA